AAAGAGAGAGGAGAGAGAGAGAGAGAGAGAGAGAGAGAGAGAGAAAGACCCAUGCCAUGGGUUUCAGACUUAUCAGCCCCCACAAUCACAUGAGCCAAUUCCUUAAAGUAAAUCAAUCAAUCCCCCCAUCUCUCUCUCUCUCUCUCUCUCUCUCUCUCUCUCUCUCUCUCUCUCUCUCU
rnacentral:miRNA from 1 species